AUGCUGCGCAGCUUCCCCCAGGCCCGUCGGCUUCUCAAGAGGCUGGGUUUUGAGAAGGGGGACGCCUACUUCUUUAAGCAGAUGGGCAAGGGCAUGCUAUGCACAUACGCGCUUUUUGGCGCUGCGUGGUUCUGGAAUGAGACAUCGCCGCUUGGCUGGUGGACGCUCAAGCCACGGCCCAAGGAAGAGAAGGAGAUGGCGCAUCUGUAUGAGCGCAGGGAGUUCCCGUACCCAGGUGACGAGGAGGCGGUGGAGGAGUUCAUAAAAAGCGGGGGCGCCCUGGGCACCACGAUCGGGCCCAAGGGGUUCGCUGACGCGAACAUGGACUCGGACAACAUGCAGAAGCAGCUGCAGUCGAAGAAGUUCGACCAGGAGGCGCGGAAGCUGUGGUUCCGUAUGCGCAACGAGGUGGUGCAGGAGCUCCAGGAGAAGGGGUUCGACGUCGAAUGA
rnacentral:rRNA from 1 species